rnacentral:rRNA from 1 species
UACCAUGCAGUCGAACGGUAAGGCCCUUCGGGGUACACGAGUGGCGAACGGGUGAGUAACACGUGGGUAAUCUGCCCUGCACUUCGGGAUAAGCCUGGGAAACUGGGUCUAAUACCGGAUAUGAGCUCCUGCCGCAUGGUGGGGGUUGGAAAGUUUUUCGGUGCAGGAUGAGUCCGCGGCCUAUCAGCUUGUUGGUGGGGUAAUGGCCUACCAAGGCGACGACGGGUAGCCGGCCUGAGAGGGUGAUCGGCCACACUGGGACUGAGACACGGCCCAGACUCCUACGGGAGGCAGCAGUGGGGAAUAUUGCACAAUGGGCGAAAGCCUGAUGCAGCGACGCCGCGUGGGGGAUGACGGUCUUCGGAUUGUAAACUCCUUUCAGUAGGGACGAAGCGAGAGUGACGGUACCUGCAGAAGAAGCACCGGCCAACUACGUGCCAGCAGCCGCGGUAAUACGUAGGGUGCAAGCGUUGUCCGGAAUUACUGGGCGUAAAGAGCUCGUAGGCGGUUUGUCACGUCGUCUGUGAAAUCCUCCAGCUCAACUGGGGGCGUGCAGGCGAUACGGGCAGACUUGAGUACUACAGGGGAGACUGGAAUUCCUGGUGUAGCGGUGAAAUGCGCAGAUAUCAGGAGGAACACCGGUGGCGAAGGCGGGUCUCUGGGUAGUAACUGACGCUGAGGAGCGAAAGCAUGGGGAGCGAACAGGAUUAGAUACCCUGGUAGUCCAUGCCGUAAACGGUGGGCGCUAGGUGUGGGGUCCUUCCACGGAUUCCGUGCCGUAGCUAACGCAUUAAGCGCCCCGCCUGGGGAGUACGGCCGCAAGGCUAAAACUCAAAGGAAUUGACGGGGGCCCGC